rfam:Lepisosteus oculatus linkage group LG10, whole genome shotgun sequence.
GCCAGCAGCCAUAUCACCCUGCAACUCACAACUUGCAACCCACUAAAGCUCAGCAGUCGUGAGCCUGGCCAGUACCUGGAUGGGAGACCUCCUGGGAAAAACUAAGGUUGCUGCUGGAA